rnacentral:lncRNA from 10 species
GGUGGGAGUGACCCGAUUUUCCAGGUGCGUCCGUCACCCCUUUCUUUGACUAGGAAAGGGAACUCCCUGACCCCUUGUGCUUCCCGAGUGAGGCAAUGCCUCGCCCUGCUUCGGCUCAUGCACGGUGCAUGCACCCACUGACCUGUGCCCACUGUCUGGCACUCCCUAGUGAGAUGAACCCGGUACCUCAGAUGGAAAUGCAGAAAUCACCGUCUUCUGCAUGGCUCACACUGGGAGCUGUAGACCAGAGGUGUUCCUAUUCGGCCAUCUUGGCUCCUCCCAGAAAAAUCCUAAUGUUUUCAACGUGAAAUAUGUAUUUCUAUUUUAGUCUGGGUAAGUAGCAUUAGAUUAAGAACAUUCGUUUAUUUUUUAUAGAUGCGUAAGUCUCAAUUUUCCCAUUCUUAAAAUGAUUUCUGGUACAGACUUUGGUGCAGUACCAUAUAAUUGUACUAUCACAUCUCCUUUACUAUGUAAUACAUACCCAUCAUAUAAAGUAGUUAUAUACCAGAUCAUAUGCUAAAAUGAUCCAUGCUCAUAAACCCAAGACUGUGAAAUGGACACAAAAGGUUAAGCCAAAUUGAUGCUGCCUCCUGUUUACCUGCAAAGUCUUUCUUAUGAAUAAACCAAUAGACUAAAAUCUUUGAUCUCAAAGAAGAUAAAGCCAUCUCCAUGGUGAUAUCCCAGAUUCCUCAUUGUUACUAUUAAAUACUUUUUAAUAUUCAACUGUUGCUGCCAAUCUUCAUCAAUUUGAUUGUAACUUGUACAUACUUUUAAAGCAUUUUUUUUUUGCUAUAAACAGCCAGAAAUUAAUACUAGUAAAAUUUAAGGAACUCAUAUUGCAAACUCUCCCUCCCACCAAAAAAAAGAGUGUAUCUCCCUAUAAAAUUCAAUGUAGUACUGGGGGAAGAAUUCAUUGGAGGAAGGAAUACCUGCACAUUUCCUAAAGGUGUAAAUAAAAUAAAAGCAUAAUAUGUAGGAUGCUUGCUGUUUUUAUAUAUUUCACUUACUACUUCAAUCAACUUCAAUGACUAGGUUAGUUUUAGGAUAGGCAGGCCCAGGAGGGAAUAAUUCUAUCCUGCCUCAGUAUGACCUAUUAGUUAUGAUAAGAACUGCUCUUUAGCAUUGACAUAUUCCAGUGCUCUCAUUCAUCAAACUAGAAUAAUAUAUCUAAGAAAGAUAUGAUAAUCUUGGGGAAAAGGAGAGAUCAGUGAACCACAUUUUGAAAC